UUCUAUUUAUUGUCCCAUUGGAUUCCUGGUUAUUCGCUUGCUGUGUUAAUUUACCUGUGCUUACCUAUUUCAGGAUCCAUCACUCCUCUGUGCCUGGGGUGACUAGAGGACUCACCAUGCUUGUUGCUUAUAGGGUUCCCCUAUCGGGUUUGGUGCUGAGGGUGACACCCCAGUGGAAGCAUAUGUGUGUCUAUAACUAAAGCAGAGCAUGUGGAUAAGUCUUGGUAGAAUUCAGACACAAGCAGUUCCAUAAAGCAAAAAGGUGUCAGGAGGACCUACUAUCAAGUUUUCACUUGUCCACAUGGAAUAACUGAAAAUAAAUGGGAAUGGAAAAGAUUGUGGAAUGGUGGGUUGUGGCCUGGACUGUCAGACCAAAUAAAGGAAGUCUGAAUCUCUUGCUGGACAUCCUAAGUCAUUGACAGCAGUGCAAAGUGGAUGUAAAAUGUAACUUGACCACAGAGCCAAGAAGAUCCAAGAAGUGGAAAUUGCAGUAAGACAAACCCUGACUAGAAAGGAGGAAUGCACUUGUAAAUAAGUUGUCUUUGCAAAAAAGAAGUAGAAGAUUCUCUUUCAUUUCAAAUCUGUAAAGACUAAAUUUUCCCGUAAAAUUAUGCUGUAGCUUAAUCAGAAGUUCUGGGUUUGAUGCAAGAAUUGCUUGGUAAAACUGCAUGGCCUGUAUAAGAAGGUUGUCAGAUUAGACUAUUAGAAUUAUUCUUUUUUGCCUGAAUCUAUUAAUCUAUUUAUUUUGCAAGUAAAAACAGUCAACAGAGUGCCUUUCUUACAUCACGGUGAAGAAAGUAGUGGGCUUUAAAUGCAAAUAAUGCAGUCUAAGGGAAACUGAAUCUCUUCUCUCAGAUGUUAAUUUGAACUUAUUGCAUUAGUCAUUGUAGUCGUGUAGCUGAUACUGGGUGCAUCUACACAUGAAAUUUAUUUGAUGCAAUAAACUCUGGUG